UACGGAGGAUGCAAGCGUUAUCCGGAAUGAUUGGGCGUAAAGCGUCCGCAGGUGGCUAUGUAAGUCCGCUGUCAAAGCGUCUGGCUCAACCAGAUAAAGGCAGUGGAAACUACAUAGCUAGAGUAAGGUAGGGGUAGAGGGAAUUCCUGGUGUAGCGGUGAAAUGCGUAGAGAUCAGGAAGAACACCGGUGGCGAAAGCGCUCUGCUGGACCUUAACUGACACUGAGGGACGAAAGCUAGGGGAGCGAAUGGG
rnacentral:rRNA from 1 species